rnacentral:tRNA from 1 species
GGUAUUGUGGCUCAGUAGUAGAGCGCUCACCUGGCAUGUGUGAGGCACUGGGUUUGAUCCUCAGUACAAUCA